rnacentral:rRNA from 1 species
AGAAACCAACAGGGAUUGCCCUAGUAACGGCGAGUGAAGCGGCAACAGCUCAAAUUUGAAAUCUGGCCUUCGGGUCCGAGUUGUAAUUUGUAGAGGAUGCUUUUGGUGCGGUACCUUCCGAGUUCCCUGGAACGGGACGCCAUAGAGGGUGAGAGCCCCGUACGGUUGGAUACCUAGCCUCUGUAAAGCUCCUUCGACGAGUCGAGUAGUUUGGGAAUGCUGCUCUAAAUGGGAGGUAAAUUUCUUCUAAAGCUAAAUACCGGCCAGAGACCGAUAGCGCACAAGUAGAGUGAUCGAAAGAUGAAAAGCACUUUGAAAAGAGGGUUAAAUAGCACGUGAAAUUGUUGAAAGGGAAGCGCUUAUGACCAGACUUUUGUCCGGCGGAUCAUCCGGUGUUCUCACCGGUGCACUUCGCCGGGCUGAGGCCAGCAUCGAUUUCUGUAGGGGGAUAAAGACUUCAGGAAAGUAGCUCCCUUCGGGGAGUGUUAUAGCCAGUUGUGUAAUACCCCUAUAGGGAUCGAGGUUCGCGCAUCUGCAAGGAUGCUGGCAUAAUGGUCAUCAGCGACCCGUCUUGAAACACGGACCAAGGAGUCGAACAUUUAUGCGAGUGUUUGGGUGUUAAACCCUCACGCGUAAUGAAAGUGAACGGAGGUGAGAGCCCUUACGGGUGCAUCAUCGACCGAUCCUGAUGUCUUCGGAUGGAUUUGAGUAAGAGCAUAACUGUUCGGACCCGAAAGAUGGUGAACUAUGCGUGGAUAGGGUGAAGCCAGAGGAAACUCUGGUGGAGGCUCGCAGCGGUUCUGACGUGCAAAUCGAUCGUCAAAUCUGCGCAUGGGGGCGAAAGACUAAUCGAA